UACGGAGGAUCCAAGCGUUAUCCGGAUUUAUUGGGUUUAAAGGGUGCGUAGGCGGCCUGUUAAGUCAGGGGUGAAAGACGGUAGCUCAACUAUCGCAGUGCCCUUGAUACUGAUGGGCUUGAAUGAACUAGAGGUAGGCGGAAUGUGACAAGUAGCGGUGAAAUGCAUAGAUAUGUCACAGAACACCGAUUGCGAAGGCAGCUUACUAUGGUUUUAUUGACGCUGAGGCACGAAAGCGUGGGGAUCAAACAGG
rnacentral:rRNA from 1 species